UGAGUGUGGGAGGGUUGAGGAUGGGAGGUAGGUGGUGGUUGUGUGUUGGUUCUGAGUGUGGGAGGAUGGGAGGAUGGGGGGUAGGUGGUGGUUGUCUGCUGGUUCUGAGUGUGGGAGGGUGGAGGAUGGGGGGUAGGUGGUGGUUGUCUGCUGGUUCUCAGUGUGGGAGUAUGAGUAGUAGGUGGUGGUUGUCUGCUGGUUCUGAGUGUGGGAGGGUGGAGGAUGGGGGGUAGGUGGUGGUUGUCUGCUGGUUCUCAGUGUGGGAGUAUGAGUAGUAGGUGGUGGUUGUCUGCUGGUUCUCAGUGUGGGAGUAUGAGGAGUAGGUAGUGGUUGUCUGCUG
rnacentral:lncRNA from 1 species